CUUUUGCUCUCCACAAUUCAACCCUCUAUUUUCCUGUUUGAAAAAGAUGUGCUUAUGUCAUUAUGUUUGUUGAACUGUACAGGAUAACAACAGUGGAGUGACUUGCAGGUGCCUCAUGUGGAUUUUUGUUCAGUAAGAUCGACCUGAUGCCUCAUAUUUUAAUUUGGACAAUGGGACUUGGUUUUAUGUAUUUAGUGGUUCUACAAAUGGUUCUGCUAUGGUUGAUAUCACAAUUCUUCUAAUGUGUAGGUAAUUUUAACACCCUCUACUAUUUUAUUGGUGUUCAGUUCUGUAAUACCCAUUGGCGUUGGCUAGCAAAUAUUAUUAGUUUAUAUGAGCAUGUUCAUUUAUACUGAUGUAACAGAUUUGAAAGGAUUGGAGUUCUUUGGAAAAAUCAACUUAAAUGGUGACUCCACAUAUUUUCACAAGGAGGUUAUUACAUGCAAAAAAAGUUCCUCUUAGAGCAUUGCCUUCAGUUUCCCCCCUUCUACCAUAUAGUACGUAGUACUGAUUAUAUGUGUCAUCUCGAUAUUAAUUUAGUUGUGACUUUUGCGUAUGCCUUGAGAGUUUUGUAUUUGCUUCUCAAUUGGUUUCGUUUAGUUACAACAGUAUGCCAAAUAAUCCAAAAAUAAUUAAUUAAAUCAUUGGACCGGCCGGAUAUAAAGAGCAUGAUUUAUACCAUCAAAUGAACAUAUAUUUUUAUAUGAAAUGAAGGAUCUUAAAUCUGUGGGUGCAUGCACUGCUUCCUGCCUUGAUCUCAAGUGCUGGCUCCUACAACAUUGCAUUUCACCAAGUGAAAUGCUGCAUUUCUACUCCUUACCCAUUCUCUCUUUCUUAGUGUUUUUGUUAUGCGGGUUGGAAGAAAAGAAGAAGAUCGAGAGAAGAUCUUAGUAAUAAGAUAGUUUUGACUUUGUAAAACUUGCUACAUGUCGAUGAAACUGUGUAAUAUAGAUGAAACUAUGUAUAUGUAUGGAUGAAACUUGCUACUAUUGGUAACAUGUGUUGGAUAUGUGUUGGAUAUAUAUGUGUUCAUGGCUAUUGGUAAUAUGUGUUGUAUAUAUAUAUAUGUUUGAUUUUAUGUGAAAAUGAAUUGAUAUAAGAAAAAACAGAAUUAAAUGGGGCAA
rnacentral:lncRNA from 1 species